rnacentral:rRNA from 1 species
UGGUGAAAGCCUACAGCUUAACUGUAGAACUGCCAUUGAUACUGUAAGUCCUGAAUUCCGCCGAAGUGGGCGGAAUAUGACAUGUAGCGGUGAAAUGCUUAGAUAUGUCAUAGAACACCGAUAGCGAAGGCAGCUCACUACGCCUGGAUUGACGCUCAUGGACGAAAGCGUGGGGAGCAAACAGGAUUAGAUACCCUGGUAGUCCACGCCGUAAACUAUUAAUACUCGAUAUUAGCGAUAUACUGUUAGUGUCUAAGCGAAAGUGAUAAGUAUUGCACCUGGGGAGUACGAUCGCAAGGU